GUCCUGGGACGUGCACAGACAGCUAAGAUGCCAGGACAUUCCAGAAGGUGGGAAAGGGCGCCUGUAAUUUCAGCUACUCCGGGGGCUGAGGCAGGAGAAUCGCUUGAACUCGGGAAGCAGAAGUUGCAGUGAGCCAAGGUCGCACCACUGCACUCCAGCCCAGGCGACAUUGUGAGACUCCAUCUCAAAAAAAAAAAAAAGAAAAAAAGUGUACUAACAAGACCCAGCACACAGAGGAGACUUUUACCAUUGUAUGAACACCCAUCAAACAGUACACAUCAUCAUUGUGAGUUCUGAAUCUCACACAUAGAGGAAGUCAAAGGUGGAAAACUUGACUCUCAUAUUUGGAUCCAGUCCACAGGUGUGAUUUUGACGCACACUUCUGCCCAGCACCUGAGUAAUGUGAUUCUUCAGAAUUGGCCCGGCCCACAAAUAGGAUUGUGCCACACUGCUGGACCCAGUGCCUAAGUGAUGUAACUCUAUUCUUCUGCCUUGGUGCUACUCGAAAAAGACAUUGUAACAUAUCUCAGAGCCUUACACCCAGGUAAUGUGAGUCUCCUCUUCUGCCUUGCUGCUGCACACAGAAGCGGAAUAUGUACAGGAUUGUUAAUCUCAUCUUGGAUCUUCCUGCACUUGUGAUUGUGACACAUGCCUCUGUGUAGAACCUGAGUGAGUUUACUCUCCUGCCUGGAUUUAACCCAUAGAUGGAAUCGUGACAUAUCACUGUACCAGAAACUAGGUGAUGUGACUCUAUUUUCUUGCCUCUGUGUUUUUAUAUGGGGCAUCGUGACAUAUCACUGGGCCUUGCACCCAAGUGAUGGGAGUUUUCUCUCCUGCUUUGGUGCCGUCCACAAUGAAAAUUGUGAAAUAUUGCUGCCCUCCCCACUAGGUUAUGUUACUCUCCUGCCUCUGCUUUGCCCACAUGGGUCACUGUGACAUAUUGCUGGGUCUAAAACCCAGGUAAUGUCACUCUCUUGUUUGGGUUCUGCCUGCAGGAGUCAUUGUCACAUAUCUCUAUGCUCAUCACCCAGGUAAUAUGAUUCCCUUUUACUGCUUAGUUCCUUCUCACAAAACAACUUGUGACAUAUUGCUAGGCCCAAUACACCUAGCUGGUGUAACUCUUCUUUUCUUUUCUUUCCUUUUUUUUUUUUUUUUUUUGAGAUGGAGUCUCACUCUGUUGCCCAGGCUGGAGUGCAGCGGCAUGAUUUCAGCUCACUACAGCCUCUGCCUCCUAGGUUGAAGCGAUUGUCCUGACUUGGCCUCCCAAGUAGCUGGGAUUAAAGGCAUGUGCCACCACGCCCGGCUAAUUUUUGUAUUUAUAGUAGAGACAGGGUUUCGCCAUGUUGGCUAGGCUGGUUUCGAACUUCUAACCUCAGGUGAUCCUCCUGCCUCGGCCUCCCAAAGUACUGGAAUUACAGGCAUGAGCCACUGCACCUGGCCUGAUUCUUCUCUUCUUUCUAGGUUUCAACUGCAGCAGAGAUUGUAACAAACCACUGGGCCCAGCCGCAUAAUGAUGUUACUCUUUUGCCUUGGGCCUGCCCUCAGAAGGCACUGUCACAUAUUCAUGGGCCCAACGCCAAGGUGAUAUGUGUCUCCAGCCUGGACCCUGCCCACAGGGGGCAUUGUGACAUAUCUCUUGGCCCAUCAGAUGUUUGAUUGUUAUCCCCUCCCCUCUUCUACCCUGUGUUUGCCUAUAAAAGACACAGUCAUAUGUUCCUGGGCCCAGCACCUAGGUGUUGUCUUACUGGAAUGUGUCCACAUGGGGAUUGUGAUAUGUCACGUGGCCCAGUACUUAACUUGAUGUGACUCUCCUCUCAUGCCUAGGCCUUGUAGAGAAUCCCCUUCCCCUUUUGUUUUCCUUUUUUUCUUUGCAGAUCCAGGAGAUAAUCAACUAAGAGCCAGGCACCCGUUUAGGUCUAAUAAACAUUUUACAAACUGCUCUCUCUUUUAAUUCACCUAUCUGAGAGAUUCCUCUGUACAAUAAAACUUGGUCUCCACAAUCCUUUACCUUAACCUAAACCUUCCCUUUCAUUGAUCCCAGGUCUUCAGAUUCCACCACUUGUCAACCACAAAAUAUUUAAAUUUACCUGGAAGCCGCCCGCUUUGAGUUGUCCCGCCUUUCUGAACCAAACCAAUAUAUUCCUGCAAAACCGGCCAUGAUUAAAACAUCAAAAAAUAAUACAUGUUGGCGUGGCUGUGGUGAAAAAAGAAUACUUUUUCACUGCUGGUGGGUAUGUAAACUAGUACAACCACUAUGAAAAACAGUAUGGAGAUUCAUUAAAUAAAAGUAAAGCUACCAUUUGAUUAAGCAAUUCUACUACUGUGUAUCUACAUGAAGAAAAAGAAAUUAUAUGUGUAAGACACUUGCACACACAUGUUUAUAGCAGCACAAUUUGCAAUUGCAAAAAUAUGGAAGCAGCCUAAUGCCCAUCAGCUAAUGAGUGGAAAAAGAAAAUGUGGCAUAUAUAUACCAAUGCAUACUACUCAGCCCUAACGAGGAAUAAAAUAAUAGCAUUUGCAGCAAUCUCGAUUUAGUUGGAGACCAUUAUUCUAAGUAACUCAGCAAUAAAAAA
rnacentral:lncRNA from 10 species